UACAGAGGGUGCGAGCGUUAAUCGGAAUUACUGGGCGUAAAGCGUGCGUAGACGGUUAUUUAAGUCGGGUGUGAAAGCCCCGGGCUCAACCUGGGAAUUGCAUUCGAGACUGAAUAGCUAGGGUACGGUAGAGGGAAGUGGAAUUUCCGGUGUAGCGGUGAAAUGCGUAGAUAUCGGAAGGAACAUCAGUGGCGAAAGCGACUUCCUGGACCAGAACUGACGAUCAGGCACGAAAGCGUGGGGAGGCAAACAGG
rnacentral:rRNA from 1 species